rnacentral:lncRNA from 1 species
CUUGUUUUGGAUGUGAUUGCAGGUAUAGAAUUGUUGGGGGUGUUGUGGAGAUAAUUUUGAGCUAAAUAGGUUGACUGGAAUUGGAUUCCACCUUUGAUGUUUUGUGUUAAACUUGAGGAUUGUUUGGUUUGAGUUUUUUUUUGGAAUUUUGGUGUAGUUAUUGUUAUUUUGGAUAGUAUGGAUUAUAAAUUUUAUGGGUGAAUCUCUUGAUAAUUUACUAUCAAUGUUAUUGUGAAAUUGUUCUAUUUUGUGGAGGAGUUUGGAAUGGAGAUUGUGUUUUGGAAAAGAAAAUUUAGAGAGGAGUUAAAUUUUAGAGAUGGAAUUGUGAGUGGAAAUGGGGAAAAUUAAGAUUGAAUGUGGAAAUGUUUGGAAAGGAUUUUUAUGAUAAUUGGUGGUAUUUUUGUGAUGAAGGAAGUGAGAUUAAAUUGAUUUAGUUAUCGAACGGUCCUUGUGAAGGUUUAGAUUAAGUGAAGUCAUUGAAUGGUUAAGGAAUCGAUUGAGUGGUUAUGAGUUAGAGGGCAUUGAGAUUGUAAGGAAUUAUAGAAUUUAAUUCCGAAUAGAAGUGUGGAAUUUUAUAAUAAUUUGUGAUUAAUAGACGCUUAUUCCGAGGGGAAUGGGUUGUUUUGAGAGACGUACUGAGCCCUCGAGCGAGGAGGACACAGACAGGCAGCAGGGUUAG